GCCUGGCUGGUUCAGUCGGUGGAACGUGUGACUCUUGAUCUCGAGGUUGUGAGUUCAAGCCCCAUGUGGGGCA
rnacentral:tRNA from 1 species